UUCAAACAGCGCUUAAACAUUCAGAGCACAGGAGAUAAUGCAGAACUGCAUACAUUUUUAAUGGACUGACAGCAUUUGGAUCAGAGGGAAUUAAUCCAUCGCUUUGUCGCGGGCCUAAUAUGGCCUGUUACCCAGCCAUUAUAAGUGGAGUGACUUUGACGAAUGGGGAAUGAGAAGGGAGAUAGUGUACACAGUCACCAGGAAGCAGACUGGGAGAAACAAGCUGGUGAUGACCCAGACGGCCUGUCAAUGUUGUGGGGAAAGAGCAUGGACAUGGACCCACAUGCUAGAAUGGAGGCAUGGAAGUAUUUCUCCAGUAUUUAUUUCUAGGCAGUACAGGAUCCUCUAAGCAGUUGUAACCCCACUGAGAAAGCUGUUACACUCCAACAGAACAAGCAGAUGAUCCUGGUAAUAAUAAAAGGAUGUUACCCUUCUACUGCUCUGUGCCGUCUGUCCUUCCCCCCUUCAGUGUGACACACGAAAAGCUCCCCAGACUAUGAUAAUCAUAGCCUGUCCUGCUAUCCUCUGUUGAACCAAAGCACUUUAGGUGAACCUCAUAAUUGUAAUCUGUUUAAUCUUCUUUCCUGUUUGAUGCCAGUAUUGUGUUGAGAGUAAGCAAUUUCUAAAUGUUUCUGCUUAAAUGAGCUUAGUG
ensembl:lncRNA